ACUUCUAGCAGGUCACCAGAUCUGUGUUGCCACCUAGGAACAUUUGAGAGAGCUGUGAGCUUCAGAAGGAGACAUGGGAAGAUUAAGAAAGAGAAAAGGAACCUAGCAUGAAUGUCCUCUGAGAGGCAAGGGGAAAAAGAAUUCCGUGCUGGAAAAAAAUUCUUUCCUGCUGACCCUGCAUGCUGCAGUAUUGACCUGCCAGGCAAGAUGUGUCCUCUGACACAACUGUUACAUGGACAAGAAAACAUCCUCACUGUGAACAGAGCCUUGGGCACUAUAAAGACAUUUGAGCCAUGGAAGUCUAGUUUUCUGUGAUUGCUCUGAAGUCUAAGCAUCUUCUUACCACAACGUUAAACUUCUCCCAGAGAGCAGCCAGCAGCUCUCAGUGUAUGUACACAGGUGAUUUAAGGGUGUCUCUGUUCCCCCUUUCCUGCCACACUGCACUAGUGCCUUAACUGAAGGGGUGGAGGCACCCAGCAACUUCAGGGUCAGGGAACCAUUGUUUCCGACUGUGUUGAUACAGAUUCCAAAUUGCUUGCAGAAUCGAGCCUUUUGGAGAAAAGCAUGGCAUUGCUGACUGUGAGAAACCCAAAGCUGAUCUUCCAGUGGCGGCACACAGGGAAGAGAGGGUGGGUGCUCAAAGACCAUUACAUCUCAACAGCUGACUGGGGUUAUGGCUGUCAUUGGACUUCCCUUUCAGAUCAAGCUACAACACUUACCUCAAAAUCUUGCACCAUUUGAACAUCAACCCAUUUUAGAGUGAUGAAAAAUGUUAUACUUCCAGCCUUUUCCAUGUGGCUAAAUGAAAGCAUACUGAAAAUAUUUGCUACUGCAAGUCAUGUACAUACAGCUAAAGGCUCUGCUGUCAUAGCAUCAUCAUUGUCAUCAUCAUUGUCAUCAUCAUCAUCAUCCUUAAGAAACAUUCAUCACCUGAACUAUUUGUGUGUUAGAAGGCCAGGCAUCUCCUUGACAGCCCUAGCUUUGAACUCUAAUAUGCUUUUUCGAUUAUAUUAGUUUAAUUUUCUAUAAAGGACAAAAAGUCUCUGUUAAACCUAGAUUCAGAGGAAUCCAGUUUCACCAUAUGGAAGAGUUGUUACCUCACAAAUAAUUCCAUAUUUUUUCUAUAUAUUUAGACAUUUACUUUCCUUUUAAAUUAGCUUUGC